GCUUUGAAAGCAUGUGUAGUCUGGCCAACUAGUGACCCAUGUGUAGGGAAACAUAUCUGUCUCCAUUUAUUCGAAGGUGUAAAGAUGAGUUAUUCAGGCAGGCCCAGUGGGAUACAACCAGGAAUAGUGGCUUGGAAAUUAUUAAGAAAAGAAAAAUGCAUGCUGUGUCUACCAGGAAAAACUUCCUAACAACAUUCUUCACACUCUGUGGAAUAACUUUCCAAAGGGGAUGGUUAAAGCCAAGCAUCUCAACGUGCUUUAAAUAGUACUGGGCAAAGUGCUAGGAACUGUUCUGUAGGGAAAAAUUGUUAACUGGUAGAGGAAUGGCUACAUGAUCUGAUAGGUCUUUUCCAUCUCUAAUGUCUACAAUUCAGUUGUGUACUCACACGGUGUUCAAAAACAGUUAAAAGAAAAUUGUCCAGAUGGAAGUUGAAAAUCCCUGUGGCACUCUUUGAAAAAGAGCAAGGGAUAACUGUGGAAUUAUAGCCAACAUUCCUUUUCUCAAUAAAACUGCUUCUAAUAUCCAUGGCUGCAUGUAAACUGUUACUGACUUCAUAAUAGCUGCUCUGUUUACUUGUGGUUCAUCCCAUCAAGCAUUUAGAGAGAGAUACAGAGUAAGAAAGAUCUUCAAGUUUCAGCAGUCGUGUGGAUGGCACACAUCGGGAAUGAGCCCAACACCACAGCACACUGGAGCUAGAUGGAUAAAGUGGGGCAGGUAGCACAGAGCAGAACUGGACGUAGGCUAUGCCUUCACUGCAGCCUUCACCUCGGACAUUCCUCACCAGCUACAAGCACUGGGGGUGCCUUAGAGAAAAUGCAGCUUAUUCUGAUCUUAAUUAAAACCUGUUGUACUUGCAACAAUUCAGUGUUGCCUUCAGUGUACUCUUUCAGUUUGCUGGUGCAACUUCCUCUUGUUUAAACAAAUAAAAUAAUCCCACACCAAUCCAAAGAAACCUGACUUAGUUAAGUAGAUUUGGCCUCUGAAGAGUUGAAAUUGCAAGCUUUAAUUUGUAUUAUUCUGCAAAACAAAUCAGUAAGUCUUACACUGAACGCAUAAGAAGAAACAUUAACAUCCUAAGUACCUGAACCAGCGUCUUGGGAUACUUUCAUGCAAACUGCUCUUUUGAAGAGGAUUCCUUUGUUAGCCCCAUUAAACAGACGCUAUUUCAAAGGAGUGGAAUAAAACAGGUGGGAGAAACUUUGCUGUUGGAUCAGCUGCCCUUCAUCAGUGGUGCAGAGGCCUUUGUGGCUGGUCUUUGAAAGUACAGUCUUCACUGACCCUGAAUCCAAGAUCAAUAGGAAGAAAGGAAGGUUGAUCUUCAGUUGCCCCUUGUCUGAAUGAUGUUAGUGUUAUGAGUUACUUCUGUUUUUAAAAUCAUGGUCAUGAGUGGGGUGAGAUGGGGGUCUAGGUGGAAAAAUCAUUGUAAGUUGCUAGCUUGUAGAAAAUUGUCUUGUAGUGGAGAGCAUCUUUGUUCUGACAGGUUUCUUGAGUUGUGCCAAUAAAAAGAGGGGAGGGGGAAAGGUAUUUCCUUUGUAGUUUAAACAAAUACCUGAAUAUUACUCAAUUUUUAUGUUGUUUUAGUAUUGCCAGCUUUGAGACAAUUCAGCAGCUUAAACUUUUGUUCUUGAUUAGUUCUCAAAGAGCACAUGGUAAAAACAAGAUUUCUUAAUACUUUCUGCUUUGGCCACAUUUAAAAAGUCUGUGAUUUGUAUGAUGAAACAAAAGCAUAAGAAAAACAGUAUGGUCUCUCACUGUUGAUAGGCAGUUAAAGUUCAGGUGUGAGCACACAAACUGUGUGAACGUUCACCUUUCAGUGUCUUCAACAGUAUUUAGUCCUGUUAGUUCUCUCCUAUCUCCUCAAAUGCAGAGGACAAAUGAGUUCCUGAACUGGGAAGAUAGUUUCUAAUUACGAUUCUCUUAAUGCAAAGCACAGCAUACAACCCAAAGUGGAAACAAAAUGACUUG